rnacentral:rRNA from 1 species
AUACGUAGGUGGCGAGCGUUGUCCGGAAUUACUGGGCGUAAAGGGUGCGUAGGCGGUAAGAUAAGUCAGAUGUGAAAUUCCGGGGCUUAACCUCGGAAUUGCAUUUGAAACUGUGUUACUAGAGUGCAGGAGAGGAAAGCGGAAUUCCUAGUGUAGCGGUGAAAUGCGUAGAUAUUAGGAAGAACACCAGUGGCGAAGGCGGCUUUCUGGACUGUAACUGACGCUGAUGCACGAAAGCGUGGGGAGCAAACAGGAUUAGAUACCCUGGUAGUCCACGCUGUAAACGAUGAGUGCUAGGUGUAGGAGGUAUCGACUCCUUCUGUGCCGCAGUAAACGCAAUAAGCACUCCGCCUGGGGAGUACGGUCGCAAGACUAA